UUAUUUGAGUGUAUAUUGGACCACCCGAUCCAAAUUCUUUCUUCUUCAGCUUCUCUUCGCUCUUUCUCGGCUACUGGCUUUGAAUCUGAAACCGCGAGCCAAACCCCCAGCGGAGUAAGAGUAGAGCAUGCGUUUGCUCUCUUUCUUUUGCCGAUAAUUUCUAGAUAUAUAUAUAUAUAUAUAUUAUUUUGGUAAACUACAAGAAAAUUCUGCAAUUUUGAAGAGAAAGUUGAUGAAUGGAAGAGGGAAACAGAGGUGAUCAAUUCGAGAGUUCAGUGUUGGAAACAGAUCGUGAUGGUCCAGUUGAUGAUGCAGAUAAAGUGAAGGAGAGGUGUAGAGAUCAGAGAGAAGCUCAGCCAGGGGAGCCUAGAUGUGUUAUAUGCGGACGUUAUGGUGAGUAUAUAUGUGAUGAGACAGAUGAUGAUGUUUGCAGUUUGGAAUGUAAACAAGCUGUAUUGCGCAGAGUUGCCAAAACCCAUGUGCAGGCUGGUCUCCAACCACCUAAAGGAUUGCCUGCAGUUGAUGAGUGCUUUUAUGUUAAAGAUUCUUUUGAUACACCUGGAUCUCUAUCUGUAUCUAGUGAUCAGACUGAAUUGCUUCGAAGAAGACUCGACAUUCAUGUAAAGGGUGACUUUGUUCCCGCACCCAUCUUGUCAUUCUCUUCCUGUGGUCUUCCUCUAAAACUUCUCCAAAAUGUAGAGGCUGCAGGGUAUGAUGUGCCUACGCCUGUCCAAAUGCAAGCAAUUCCAGCUGCUCUUGUCGGAAAGAGCUUGCUUGUUUCAGCUGACACAGGAUCGGGGAAAACUGCUUCCUUUCUGGUUCCAAUUGUAUCUCAUUGUGCAAAUUCUCGGCUCAAGAGCUGUAAAAACCAGAAAAAUCCAUUAGCGAUGGUUCUAACACCAACCAGAGAGCUCUCCAUCCAAGUAGAGGAGCAGGCUAAGUUGCUAGGGAAAGGUUUGCCCUUUAAAACUGCGCUUGUGGUUGGUGGUGAUUCUAUGGCUGGACAACUCCAUCGUAUUCAGCAAGGAGUGGAACUGAUUGUAGGAACUCCAGGUAGGCUCAUUGAUCUUUUGAUAAAGCACAACAUUGAACUAGAUGAUGUUGCCAUUUUUGCACUGGAUGAGGUGGACUGCAUGCUCCAAAGGGGCUUCCAGGAUCAGGUAAUGCAGAUAUUUAGGGCCCUAUCACAACCUCAGGUGUUGAUGUAUUCCGCAACAAUCUCCAAAGACAUAGAAACGAUGGCAAGCUCAAUGGCAAAAAAUGUUAUGUUCAUCUCUGUUGGAAUGCCAAACAGGCCAAGUAAGGCUGUGAAGCAACUUGCUAUCUGGGUCCAAUCAAAGCAAAAGAAACAAAAACUUUUUGACAUAUUGUUGAGCAAGCAGCAUUUUAUGCCACCUGUUGUGGUUUAUGUCAGUUCAAGACUUGGGGCUGAUAUGCUAUCUAAUGCAAUUACAGUGACCACUGGGAUAAAAGCUGUAUCAAUCCAUGGGGAGAAGCCCAUGAAGGAAAGGAGGGAAAUUAUGAGGUCUUUCAUAAUGGGUGAGGUUCCUGUGAUGGUGGCGACUGGGGUAUUGGGUAGAGGAGUUGAUCUCUUGAGUGUGAAACAAGUUAUAGUGUUUGACAUGCCCAAUUCCAUUAAGGAGUACGUCCAUCAGAUUGGUAGAGCAUCUAGACUGGGAGAGGAGGGUACGGCAAUUGUGUUUGUGAAUGAGGAGAACAAGAACUUGUUUCCAGAGUUUGUUGAAAUACUGAAAUCUUCUGGGGCAGCUGUACCUCGGGAGCUUGUUAAUUCUCGACAUAUGCUCAACUCUUCCAUUGGAAGAGGCCAUAAAAAGAGGAAGCAUGGUAUUUGAGGUUUCAGGUACUUUAUGAAUGAGUUGCCUUGGUUUCUAUUCAGUAUCUUGAUGUCAUGCUUGAAACUCAUUUGCUACUAUUAAAGGUGGUAUUUAUAUGGUAUAUCGAGAAUGUAACCUUUAUAGAUCCAUGAACGUAAAGGCAAAGCAAUAUAUUGUGAUAAUCUUUGAAUUUGAAGUUUGUGACUUAACAAGUAACAUGAGAAACUUGGAAAUUCAUGUGUUGAUCUUAUAUAGGCUUUGGGUGGUAUAUGAAACUGAAUAAGCAUUAACACCUGUCUGCUACUACUGGUUGGAGGACAGGACAAAAACAGUUUUGAUUUGCACUGAAGAAAAUUUACAAGUGGUGGUAAAGCAUGUCAGAUUCUUAUAGUUUCUACCCAGAAGUUUCUUAAAAGGGGUUGUUUUGCAAAUUGAGGCAAUAGAGUGAAUAUUAGAAGACUUUGCCCCUGCUAAACUAGGAAGUUUCCCCUCUUUGUUUUGAGAUUUUUGAAACAUAUGAAUAGGGUAUGGCACUCCCCAAAUAUUUAUUUGUUGUACAUUAUGCGAAGCAGUUUUGCCCACUGGUUAUAUAUUUUGUUUUCAGGUGCUCAUAAUGUACUUUUCAAUUAUCAGAUGGAUGUCCUUUUUGGCACUCUCCAUGUAUUUCGUUUUACAUUGUGGUUUAGGAAUGCUUGCCUUGGACACAAAUUCAAGGAAUUGAGAUGACUUAUCUGUUUUCAACUUUGGGACUCCAAUGUGACCAAGUUCUUUUGUUGGUAGAGUAUCCUUUUCCCUGCCAAAGUCAUUUGGAGAAGACUAGCAGUAGUUUCCCUCGGUUCUGCAAUCCUGGAAAUGAUCAAACAACUUGUCCGUCAUUUAUUGUCUAGUACAUAUUAUAAAGUGACAUUAAGUGUGUUAAAGAUGAAUAUAAUGAACUGAGCAUGAUAUGCAAGCUUUGAUGCAAUGGAAAAUUGUACAGAGGAUGAGGUUCGAAUACUGGAUCACAUUCAUGGUUCAAUGAUCUCAACCAGAUAAAGGUAGAUGUCUCUCUUUUGUAGGAAGACCUCAAUUGACAUGAGAUGUAUGAGAGUCAGUUGCAUUCGGUGCUUAGAUUUCUUUUUCAUAGAAUAUGCUCUCAAGCAUACAAUAGAUGUGGAAGUGACUGAAUUGCGCCUUCAUAAAUGUGAGGGAUGAUUAUGAAACUAAAUCAGCAUGGCAAUCUUCUUUUUAAUCUCAAGUUAAUUUGGAGGGCAUCAAAUGCGUAACCAAAGGAUUUACUUGUAAGGCUAGGGAAAUUGGCAGGGUCAUUUUUUUUUCACGGAUUGGAGGCCAUAGAAGGAAGCUUUUCUGGCUAAUGCACUCAAAAUCUAAACGUUGAAGCUUUUUGCAAAUACCAGAAAGAAGUCUUGAGUGGCAGGGUCUUCGGGAAAGUAAGUUUGGAAUGAACUGAGGAAUAAACUGGGAUUCAUUUAUAUGUUUCCCCAGGUGUCCUACUCUACUAGCUUCAUUAUUUGGUUCAGACUCUUGGAUGCUUUUAAUACUGAAAAUAAAACGAGUGAAGGAAUCGAGAAAUUUUGUAGUUCGAUAAGAAGUGUAUGCGGUUUAGAGAGAAGAAAUUAUGGUUAGCACAACAGUCAAAUGUCGACAUUGUUACAAGUAGUAUUAUAUAUUAUUUGCAGCAUUACAUUUUGUUUA